AAUUUUCCUGCUAGAAGUCGUGCCUUUUGAUUGUUUUCUGAUGAAGAUGGUUGAAAAUAUUUGGGAUGCGUUAACGCCUGAUUUUGUACGCAUGACGAAAUCACCAAAAUAACGGGCCAAAAUCACGCUAACGGUUGAUGGAGUAGUUGAUUAUAUAAAACUCACAAAGUACAUUCACACAAACAUAAAUAAAGAGAUAUAAAUAUGAACACAAGAAUUUACGUGGAAACCCAAUUGGAAAAAAACCACGGAGAGAGAGUAAUCCACUAUAAUAAUAUUGAGAGUAAUCCACUAUAAUAAUAUUUGGGUGUACAAGAUGAUAAUAUGGAGAGUACAAGGUGUGUAUUUGUGUUGUAUCUCUUGUGUUCUAUCAUGUUCUGUUAAAACCCUAGCUUGUAGUCAUAUAUAUAGAAGUCACCUCCAUCCGCAUCCAAUUAGGAGAAGGACUCCUUUUGUAGAAUUACCUUAUAACUCCCGAAUCCAAUUAGCAGUAGGAGUCCUAAUUAAACCUCCUUAUCCCACCAAAUAAGAAAAUAGAAUCCUACUUUAAUAAGGACUCUCCACUGUCACAAUAAAUACAUAUGGGCCAUCACCAGAUCCGGACCAUUAAAUAGAUUGGAUUGCACCAUGGCUAGGCCCAAAUAAUCACAUCCCAACAUUGCCCCCCAGUCUCUUAUUUAUAAGUAACUUAUAAAUGAGAGACUAUACAAAUAUACGCCAACAAAACGACCAUAUUUGCCGAAGAGAAAAUAUCACGCCCGAACUCCAUACGCCGAACUAAAAUUGUUGGAGAACCAACCUUAUACCAACCGAAUAUAAAGAACCAACCUUAUACCAACCGAAUAUAGAGAACCAACCUUAUCCCAACCGAACCAACCUUAUACCAACCGAAUAUAGAGAACCAACCUUAUCCCAACUGAACCAACCUUAUACCAACCGAACCAACCUUAUCACAACCGAAGAUAUAAAGAAUCAACCUUAUCACAACAGAAUAUAGAGAACCAACCUUAUACCAACCGAAUAUAAAGAACCAACCUUAUCACAACCGAAUACAGAGAACCAACCUUAUCUCAACCGAACCAACCUUAUCACAACCAAAGAUAGAGAACCAACCUUAUCACAACCAAACCAACCUUAUACCAACCGAAAAUAUAAAGAACCAACCUUAUUACUACCGAACCAACCUUAUCACAACCAAAGAUAGAGAACCAACCUUAUCACAACCAAACCAACCUUAUACCAACCGAAAAUAUAAAGAACCAACCUUAUUACUACCGAACCAACCUUAUCACAACCGAACCAACCUAAUCACUACCGAAGAUAUAAAGAACCAACCUUUUAUAAAGUUCGUUCCAGGGAACUAAACGUAUUCGUUCUAAAGAACUGUACAAAUGUUUACUUUGACCGUUUGGGAGGACGUUGGUCCGUCCCAAAGGAUAUUGUCCGAUUGAGAGGAUGAU
rnacentral:lncRNA from 1 species